rnacentral:rRNA from 1 species
GCUCUCCGGUGUCGGAAGGUAACAUGUAUGCCACUUUUUGUGGUAGUACAAGCCCCAGUAUCUGGCAUUUUCUUUCUACUAUAAUUGGUAGCUGUUUGCUAAAAGCUUAGCACUCCACGUGCAGGUGUAACGUCGGGGCGCAAAAUCACUUGUAUACGACUUGAAUACUGGUCAGGGGGUUGUAAACAGUAGAGCAGCUCUUCGCUGCGAUCUGCUGAGACUUAGCCCUUGGUCGGAUGAU